rnacentral:rRNA from 1 species
UACGAAGGGGGCUAGCGUUGUUCGGAAUCACUGGGCGUAAAGCGCACGUAGGCGGAUUUGUUAGUCAGGGGUGAAAUCCCGGGGCUCAACCUCGGAACUGCCUUUGAUACUGCAGAUCUCGAGUCCGGAAGAGGUGAGUGGAAUUCCUAGUGUAGAGGUGAAAUUCGUAGGUAUUAGGAAGAACACCAGUGGCGAAGGCGGCGCACUGGUCCGGUACUGACGCUGUGGUGCGAAAGCGUGGCGCGCAAUUAGU